AAUCAACGCUGGCGGCGCGCUUAACACAUGCAAGUCGAACGAGAAAGGGGAGCAAUCUCCGAGUAAAGUGGCGUACGGGUGAGUAACACGUGGGUAAUCUACCUCUUGGUGGGGAAUAACCCUGGGAAACCGGGGCUAAUACCGCAUAAGUCUGAAAAGAGAAAGGCGCAAGUCGCCGGGAGAGGAGCCCGCGGCCGAUUAGCUAGUUGGUAGGGUAAAGGCCUACCAAGGCGAAGAUCGGUAGCCGGCCUGAGAGGGCACACGGCCACACUGGCACUGAAACACGGGCCAGACUCCUACGGGAGGCAGCAGUGGGGAAUCUUGCACAAUGGGGGAAACCCUGAUGCAGCGACGCCGCGUGAGCGAUGAAGCCCUUCGGGUGUAAGACUCUUUCGGCAGGAACGAAUAAUGACGGUACCUGAAGAAGAAGCUGCGGCUAACUACGUGCCAGCAGCCGCCGUAAU
rnacentral:rRNA from 1 species